rnacentral:lncRNA from 1 species
AUGCAUGUGUGUGUGUGUGUGUGUGUGUGUGUGUGUGUGUGUGUGUGUGUGUGUGUGUGUGUGUGUGUGUGGAGAGAACAACUCUGUGCCCCACCGGGGCCGGCUGGGAGUUUGUGGGGCAGAACGUCAGCAGAGCCGCGGGCGAGCUCCACACUGAGGGAAAUGACAGCCUCCAGGCCACCAUUGGUUGAUGACCGUGAAACUCUUGCGGUUAACGUAAAGCGAGCGAGAGGCUGGCACAGCGAGGACUGUGAGGCUGUGUGCAGUUCUGCCAGCAACACAAGCCCCUCUCCAACUACUCUGCAGUACAGAAACAAAACAACAGAGUCUGUGUUACAAUUCCUAACACCAGCAGCUAUGCCAUCCAAGUUUAUUAUGCAGUAACAUCACCAGAUCUCCUUAGGCAGCUGUGCAUCUCCUUAUGACUGAUGAGGGUAAUUUCUCCCAAACAGCAGAAUGAUCACUUGGGUUUGGUCCCCCAACUCCCUCCUCCUUCUUUAUAUCCGAGUAGAAAGAAGACAGAGACGUUUGCUGCUGUGGAUAGAAUGGGUUCAGAUGAUGAAUAGCUCUCCAGUCCCAUGCAUUUGAGAUACGCACACAUUGGCUAUAAUAAAGUGGUUGGUGAGAAAAUAAACAUAAUUGUGCACAAACAAAAGAAAUUGGCAAAUGUGUUCUCAGUUUUCAUUGAAGAAAUGUUGCUUCUCAAUCAUAGAAACUUGGACUUGAAUACAACAUUUAAUACGGAUUUAAAUAACACCAUGGCGGUGAAAACAGCAAACCUCCUUAUUUUCUUUGAUUUUCCUUUGGGGAUCCAAAAUAAUACCCCCACCAAUGUGAAUUACCUUCAUGGACUAGUCCCAGAUAU